GACCCCUUCGUCUAGCGGUUAGGACGGCGGCCUCUCACGCCGCUAACAGCGGUUCGAAUCCGCUAGGGGUCGCCA
rnacentral:tRNA from 1 species